rnacentral:rRNA from 1 species
AUGGACGACUACCUCAAGCUACAUCAAGUCCCUUCCAAAGAUCAAGUGAAGUGCGCCACAAGAAACUUCCAUGACUACGCCUCGACAUUGUGGCUUCACACACCUUCGGAGAGCUACAAGAUGAGUUGGCCCAAGACGAAGAGAGCUUUGAGGCAAGAGUUCGUGCCUCCAACCUACACGGAACAACUUCGACGCCAAUUGGAGAACACCAUCCAAGCAUCCAAGUCCAUCGACAAGUACUUCAAGGAGAUGAAGAUUCCCUUGCGACGAGCCGGCAUGGACGACCCCAUUUCGAUGAAGUUCCACUUCAUGAUGGGAUUGAACAACGACAUCUCCAAGACUAUCUUCCUCGAGAACUACAAGUCCAUCGACGACUACUACAUUGGUGCUCUCAAGGCGGAACAAGAACUCAUGAAGGCCAAGGCUUCUCCACCCCAAGCACACUUCACGGUGACCAAGCUCUACGACAAGCAUGAGGCUAGUACCACCACGAUGUCCAAGCCCGAUGAGCUCCAAGACGAUGCUCCCAAGUUCGACUUCACCGCCAUCCCUCUUUGUGGCAUUGAUGGUGACGAGUCUACUUCGACUCUUUUUCAAGAUGGUGCGGCGAUGAGUACGACUACGGAGACCCUCAAGGACCAAGCUUUGGAGGCGAGCAACAAGGUGGCGAGCGAGGAUGAUGCUUCCAUCUUUGGAGGCGAGAGUGAUGAUGUGCCGUCUUCGGCCUUCAUCCACGGCGACGAUGACGAGAUGAUCGAGCAUGGGAUUUUCCCUUCGGUCAUGGAGGAGAGUGAUGAUGUGCCAUCUUCGGCCUUCAUCCACGGCGACGAUGACAAGAUGGUUGAGCAUGGGAUUUUCCCUUCGAUCACGGCGACGUAUGAUGACUUGAGUGACUUUUGCCACCAUAUUGAGAGUGAGAGUGACUUCACCACUUGCCCCAUAUAUGACGAGUUGCCCCAAUUUCCAUGUGAGGAGAUCCACAACCCCCACCACUUGUGUGAGAUGAGUGACUCCACCAUAUGUGACUUUGAGGGAGUUAGUGAACCACCACAUAGAGAGAGUGAGAUAGUUGAUAGGUCUCGUGAGGCCAUUUGCAUUUCUAACAACUUGACCUCUACCUCUAUUGUGUCUUCUUAUUUGGUGCUAGGUCCCAUUUAUGAUGACACGCCGAUCCUCGACGACUUCGUCCUCCCUUUGGACAAGACGAUGGCCAUGGUGGAAUAUGAUGCACCCCCCACAUGGUUCCAUCAAGAUGAAGAUGACCACCAUUUGGUCUUUCCCACCUCACCUAUACCAUGUGAGUGGAAUGACAAAGGUAACAAAGGUGAUGGUGAUGCGCUAGUCCCACUAGUGGACAUUCGUGACAUUGAUUGCUUGCAUGAUGUUGAUCCACCUAGUACCAUGCUUCAUGCUAGUAUGAUUUCCCCAUGCGAUGAUUUCCCCAUGCAAUGA